UACGAAGGGGGCUAGCGUUGCUCGGAAUCACUGGGCGUAAAGGGUGCGUAGGCGGGUCUUUUAAGUCAGGGGUGAAAUCCUGGAGCUCAACUCCAGAACUGCCUUUGAUACUGAGGAUCUUGAGUUCGGGAGAGGUGAGUGGAACUGCGAGUGUAGAGGUAAAAUUCGUAGAUAUUCGCAAGAACACCAGUGGCGAAGGCGGCUCACUGGCCCGAUACUGACGCUGAGGCACGAAAGCGUGGGGAGCAAACA
rnacentral:rRNA from 1 species